ACUGGCGGGUGCUAUACUGCAAGUCGAACGUUAAGUGUAGCAAUACACUGAAAGUGGCGAACGGGUGAGUAACACGUAAGUAAUCUGCCUUUAAGAUUGGGAUAACCUUGCCAACGCGGGGCUAAUACCGGAUGUGGUCGGACGGACGCAUGUCUGUUUGAUUUAAGGAGUGAUCCGCUUAAAGAUGAACUUGCGGCCCAUUAGUUAGUUGGCGGGGUAACGGCCCACCAAGACAGCGAUGGGUAGCCGGCCUGAGAGGGUGUACGGCCACAUUGGGACUGAGAUACGGCCCAGACUCCUACGGGAGGCAGCAGUAGGGAAUUUUGCGCAAUGGACGAAAGUCUGACGCAGCAACGCCGCGUGAGGGAUGAAGGCCUUCGGGUUGUAAACCUCUGUUGGACAGGAAAAAAAGGUAGCAAUACUUUGAUGGUACUGUUUGAGGAAGCACCGGCUAACUACGUGCCAGCAGCCGCGGUAAUAUGUAGGGUGCAAGCGUUGUUCGGAAUCACUGGGCGUAAAGAGAGCGUAGGCGGGAUCGUAAGUUAGAAGUUUAAUACAUGGGCUUAACCCGUGGUCGGCUUUUAAUACUGCGGUUCUUGAGUAUGGGAGAGGGCGAUGGAAUUCCAGGUGUAGCGGUGGAAUGCGUAGAUAUCUGGAAGAACACCAGUAGCGAAGGCGGUCGCCUGGCCUAAUACUGACGCUGAGGCUCGAAAGCUAGGGGAGCAAACAGGAUUAGAUACCCUGGUAGUCCUAGCCGUAAACGAUGAACACUAGUUGCCGGAGGAGUCAAUCUUUUUGGUGACG
rnacentral:rRNA from 1 species